GAUCAUGGCUCAGGAUGAACGCUAGCUACAGGCUUAACACAUGCAAGUCGAGGGGAAACGACAUCGAAAGCUUGCUUUUGAUGGGCGUCGACCGGCGCACGGGUGAGUAACGCGUAUCCAACCUGCCCACCACUUGGGGAUAACCUUGCGAAAGUAAGACUAAUACCCAAUGACGUCUCUAGAAGACAUCUGAAAGAGAUCAAAGAUUUAUCGGGUGACGGAUGGGGAUGCGUCUGAUUAGCUUGUUGGCGGGGUAACGGCCCACCAAGGCGACGAUCAGUAGGGGUUCUGAGAGGAAGGUCCCCCACAUUGGAACUGAGACACGGUCCAAACUCCUACGGGAGGCAGCAGUGAGGAAUAUUGGUCAAUGGGCGAGAGCCUGAACCAGCCAAGUAGCGUGCAGGAUGACGGCCCUAUGGGUUGUAAACUGCUUUUAUAGGGGAAUAAAGUGAGCCACGUGUGGUUUUUUGCAUGUACCUUAUGAAUAAGGACCGGCUAAUUCCGUG
rnacentral:rRNA from 1 species